rnacentral:antisense_RNA from 1 species
CGGCGCUUGAGGCUUCUGCCUCAUGUUGUCGGCAGCAGUGCUGAACGUUGGUGAGGCAGAAAGCAGAAAAGCCCCGAAAGUUAAUUUCCAUUAACCCCCGAGGCCCUGCAUGCAAGAGAACAUUCAGGAUAGCCUCUUACCCGCCGCAAGGCAAGGAGAAGAAGGCCAUG